UGGGGAAUAUUGCGCAAUGGGCGAAAGCCUGACGCAGCGACGCCGCGUGAGGGAUGAAGGCCUUCGGGUUGUAAACCUCUUUCAGCAGGGAAGAAGCGCAAGUGACGGUACCUGCAGAAGAAGCACCGGCUAACUACGUGCCAGCAGCCGCGGUAAUACGUAGGGUGCGAGCGUUGUCCGGAAUUAUUGGGCGUAAAGAGCUCGUAGGCGGUCUGUCGCGUCUGCUGUGAAAUCCCGGGGCUCAACUCCGGGCUUGCAGUGGAUACGGGCAGACUAGAGUUCGGUAGGGGAGACUGGAAUUCCUGGUGUAGCGGUGAAAUGCGCAGAUAUCAGGAGGAACACCGGUGGCGGAGGCGGGUCUCUGGGCCGAUACUGACGCUGAGGAGCGAAAGCGCGGGGAGCGAACAGGAUUAGAUACCCUGGUAGUCCACGCCGUAAACGUUGGGCGCUAGGUGUGGGGAACCUUCCACGUGCUCCGUGCCGCAGCUAACG
rnacentral:rRNA from 1 species